AUGCAUGCAGACGCUCUGUGUGCCCUGAUGAAGGUUCACUCACCUCAGCAUGCCAAAAGGACUUUUGGUGGAGGAACCAGACUGGAGGUUGGAAGUGAUGCCCGUCCCACCCUGACAGUGCUGCCCCCCUCCAGUGAGGAGCUGCAGCAGGGGAAGGCCACCCUCAUGUGUCUGGCCAACAAGGGCUUCCCCUCAGACUGGAGUCUGUCCUGGAAGGUGGACGACAGCAGCAGCAGCAGCAGCAGCUGGGAGCAGAGCAGGAGCCCCGGGGUGCUGCAGAAGGACGGCCUCUACAGCUGGAGCAGCACCCUGAGGCUCCCUGCAGACCAGUGGAGGAAGGUGGGCUCUGUGACCUGUGAGGCCUCCAAGGGCUCCCAGCCUGCAGUCACACAGACGCUGACCAGAGACCACUGUUCCCAGUCCUGAGCUCAUUCACUGGGAGUUUGCUGGUCUUUUUCUGCUACUGCUCUGUUUUUGCUCUUCAAUCGUUUUUCUGUUUUUCUUCCAUAAGUGUUCAUCUGUUCAUGUAUAACUUGAUGAUUGAAAUAAAACUGACAAAAAAUAA